UGUAUAAAUUCAUUACAAUCAUCUCCUUAGAAACACCUCAUUAAUUGGAUGACCAAUGAAGAAAAGCCCAACCCAAUUCUUCAGUUGCAGGACUUGAAAUAUAUUAAUGGGGGUUAUAAAGGGAAAAUGUAAGAAGAAUAUGAUAUUGAAGGCAUGGCAAUCAUUUUCAAAAAAUGUGAAGGGUCUAACAAUAGCACCUAAUGGUUGUUUUUCAGUGUAUGUUGGAGCACAAAGAAAAAGGUUUGUUUUGAAGACAAAGUUUAUUAACCACCCACUAUUCAUGAUGUUGCUAGAUGAAGCAGAAGUGGAGUAUGAGUUUCAAAAUGAUGGCCCAAUUUUGCUUCCUUGCAAGGUUGAAUUGUUCAACAAAGUGUUGGCUGAGAUUAAUAAUGGUACUCGUAGAAGCUUAAUUAACAAUGCUAUAAGGAGUAUACGAAUACGGAUCAUGGUGAUUUCAAUUGACUAUUGUAACUUGUUUUGUAAGUUUGCAUUGUGUUGUUAAUUGCAUUCCAACAAUCUUUUUAUCGAACAUCAAAUACUGCACCCUCCCCUGUAUUUUCCACAAUCAACUCCCCUUAUGAGCUAAUAGGCAAUUUUCCUGCCAUAGGGUAAUAAGGUACAAGAAUCUUUGACAGAACUCGAAUUGGUUCUCCUUGUCUUACAAUAAGUUCAAUGGGAGAGGAUGCUUGUACUUGUCGUCAUGAAGUAACCUUUGAAUAAACACAAAAUAUAUGAAGAGUGUGAGAAUUUUAUGUCAAAAUGAUUUAGAAGUAUAUGAACUAAUUAUAGUGGGUGAGAAUAAAUUGACUAAAAAAUAUCCACUUCAAA